GAUGAAGAACGCAGCAAAAUGCGAUAAGUAAUGUGAAUUGCAGAAUCCAGUGAAUCAUCGAAUCUUUGAACGCACAUUGCGCCCGCCAGCAUUCUGGCGGGCAUGCCUGUUCGAGCGUCAUUUCAACCCUCAAGCCCUCGGGUUUGGUGUUGGGGAUCGGCGAGCCUUUCUGGCAAGCCGGCCCCGAAAUCUAGUGGCGGUCUCGCUGCAGCCUCCAUUGCGUAGUAGUAAAACCCUCGCAACUGGAACGCGGCGCGGCCAAGCCGUUAAACCCCCAACUUCUGAAUGUUGACCUCGGAUCAGGUAGGAAUACCCGCUGAACUUAAGCAUAUCAAUAAGCGGAGGA
rnacentral:misc_RNA from 1 species